ensembl:lncRNA
GGAAGUUUGAAAUUGGCGGUUACGCAGGAUGCGGUGUGUGGAGGAGCUCCAGUCUUCACCUUCACCUUGGACGUCAUCUCCUGGCUUCCAGUGCAAACUCUUCAACUUCUGUGGCAGAUCCUUCAGCCUUCCAGUGUAGACUCUUCAGCUUUCUAUCGCAGACCUAUCGGCCUUCUGUUAUGGACUCACACGGGACACUGCAAUGAGCUCCAGACCUUCAACUAAAUCCUUCAGGCUCCAAUGUGCAGACAGAUCCUCUGCACCCUUCCUCAUCUGACUGUGGGCGUCCAUUGUAUAAAGAUAGGUGCCCCCAUCAAAGGAAGAAGUUGUUCUGAGAAAAUAAAGACAUUAUACAGAAGGCGGUACAGGUUCUGAUGCUGUUUCAGUGCUAGUGAGCUAGUACCAUGCAGAUGGAAGCAGUGCCUGUCCAGGGAAUGGCAGAGCAACAACACAGAAAGAACCUGGG